rnacentral:rRNA from 1 species
CGAAAAUGUACCGGGGCUAAACAUAUUACCGAAGCUGUGGAUUGUCCUUUGGACAAUGGUAGGAGAGCGUUCUAAGGGCGUUGAAGCAUGAUCGUAAGGACAUGUGGAGCGCUUAGAAGUGAGAAUGCCGGUGUGAGUAGCGAAAGACGGGUGAGAAUCCCGUCCACCGAUUGACUAAGGUUUCCAGAGGAAGGCUCGUCCGCUCUGGGUUAGUCGGGUCCUAAGCUGAGGCCGACAGGCGUAGGCGAUGGAUAACAGGUUGAUAUUCCUGUACCACCUAUAAUCGUUUUAAUCGAUGGGGGGACGCAGUAGGAUAGGCGAAGCGUGCGAUUGGAUUGCACGUCUAAGCAGUAAGGCUGAGUAUUAGGCAAAUCCGGUACUCAUUAAGGCUGAGCUGUGAUGGGGAGAAGACAUUGUGUCUUCGAGUCGUUGAUUUCACACUGCCGAGAAAAGCCUCUAGAUAGAAAAUAGGUGCCCGUACCGCAAACCGACACAGGUAGUCAAGAUGAGAAUUCUAAGGUGAGCGAGCGAACUCUCGUUAAGGAACUCGGCAAAAUGACCCCGUAACUUCGGGAGAAGGGGUGCUCUUUAGGGUUAACGCCCAGAAGAGCCGCAGUGAAUAGGCCCAAGCGACUGUUUAUCAAAAACACAGGUCUCUGCUAAACCGUAAGGUGAUGUAUAGGGGCUGACGCCUGCCCGGUGCUGGAAGGUUAAGAGGAGUGGUUAGCUUCUGCGAAGCUACGAAUCGAAGCCCCAGUAAACGGCGGCCGUAACUAUAACGGUCCUAAGGUAGCGAAAUUCCUUGUCGGGUAAGUUCCGACCCGCACGAAAGGCGUAACGAUUUGGGCACUGUCUCAACGAGAGACUCGGUGAAAUCAUAGUACCUGUGAAGAUGCAGGUUACCCGCGACAGGACGGAAAGACCCCGUGGAGCUUUACUGUAGCCUGAUAUUGAAAUUCGGCACAGCUUGUACAGGAUAGGUAGGAGCCUUUGAAACGUGAGCGCUAGCUUACGUGGAGGCGCUGGUGGGAUACUACCCUAGCUGUGUUGGCUUUCUAACCCGCACCACUUAUCGUGGUGGGAGACAGUGUCAGGCGGGCAGUUUGACUGGGGCGGUCGCCUCCUAAAAGGUAACGGAGGCGCUCAAAGGUUCCCUCAGAAUGGUUGGAAAUCAUUCAUAGAGUGUAAAGGCAUAAGGGAGCUUGACUGCGAGACCUACAAGUCGAGCAGGGUCGAAAGACGGACUUAGUGAUCCGGUGGUUCCGCAUGGAAGGGCCAUCGCUCAACGGAUAAAAGCUACCCCGGGGAUAACAGGCUUAUCUCCCCCAAGAGUUCACAUCGACGGGGAGGUUUGGCACCUCGAUGUCGGCUCAUCGCAUCCUGGGGCUGUAGUCGGUCCCAAGGGUUGGGCUGUUCGCCCAUUAAAGCGGUACGCGAGCUGGGUUCAGAACGUCGUGAGACAGUUCGGUCCCUAUCCGUCGUGGGCGUAGGAAAUUUGAGAGGAGCUGUCCUUAGUACGAGAGGACCGGGAUGGACAUACCUCUGGUGUACCAGUUGUCGUGCCAACGGCAUAGCUGGGUAGCUAUGUGUGGACGGGAUAAGUGCUGAAAGCAUCUAAGCAUGAAGCCCCCCUCAAGAUGAGAUUUCCCAACUUCGGUUAUAAGAUCCCUCAAAGAUGAUGAGGUUAAUAGGUUCGAGGUGGAAGCAUGGUGACAUGUGGAGCUGACGAAUACUAA